rnacentral:rRNA from 1 species
UGGCGGGCAAUGCCUACCCAUGCAAGUCGAGGCGGCCCUAAGGGUACUCUGUCACCAUGGUGGUCGAGCGGCGGACGGGUGAGUAAUGCCUAGGAAUCUGCCUAGUAGUGGGGGAUAACGUCCGGAAACGGGCGCUAAUACCGCAUACUCCUACGGGAGAAAGUGGGGGAUCUUCGGACCUCACGCUAUUAGAUGAGCCUAGGUCGGAUUAGCUAGUUGGUGAGGUAAUGGCUCACCAAGGCGACGAUCCGUAACUGGUCUGAGAGGAUGAUCAGUCACACUGGAACUGAGACACGGUCCAGACUCCUACGGGAGGCAGCAGUGGGGAAUAUUGGACAAUGGGCGAAAGCCUGAUCCAGCCAUGCCGCGUGUGUGAAGAAGGUCUUCGGAUUGUAAAGCACUUUAAGUUGGGAGGAAGGGCAGUUACCUAAUACGUGAUUGUUUUGACGUUACCGACAGAAUAAGCACCGGCUAACUCUGUGCCAGCAGCCGCGGUAAUACAGAGGGUGCAAGCGUUAAUCGGAAUUACUGGGCGUAAAGCGCGCGUAGGUGGUUUGUUAAGUUGGAUGUGAAAGCCCCGGGCUCAACCUGGGAACUGCAUCCAAAACUGGUAAGCUAGAGUAUGGUAGAGGGUGGUGGAAUUUCCUGUGUACCGUGAAAUGCGUAAAUAUGGGAGGAACACCAGGGACAAAGGCGACCCCUGGACUUUUCUGACACUGAGGUGCGAAACGGGGGG